rnacentral:rRNA from 1 species
UACGUAGGGGACGAGCGUUGUCUGGAAUUACUGGGCGUAAAGGGCGCGCAGGCUGUAGAUCAAGUCAGCUGUGAAAUGUCUGGGCUUAACCCGGGCAUGCGGUUGAAACUGAUGUACUGGAGUGCUGUAGAGGCAAGUGGAAUUCCCAGUGUAGCGGUGAAAUGCGUAGAUAUUGGGAAGAACACCGGUGGCGAAGGCGACUUGCUGGGCAGCAACUGACGCUGAGGCGCGAAAGCCAGGGGAGCGAACCGGAUUA